UAGUCUAGUGGUUAAGGCUUUGGAUCGCUAAUCCGGAGACGGCGGGUUCGAUUCCCGU
rnacentral:tRNA from 1 species